AUUGAACGCUGGCGGCAUGCCUUACACAUGCAAGUCGAACGGCAGCACGGGUGCUUGCACCUGGUGGCGUGUGGCGCACGGGUGAGUAAUACAUCGGAACAUGCCCUGUAGUGGGGGAUAGCCCGGCGAAAGCCGGAUUGAUACCGCAGACGAACUACGUAUGAAAGAGGGGGACCUUCGGGCCUCGCGCUUUGGGGUUGGCCGAUGGCGGAUUAGCUAGUUGGUGGGGUAAAGGCCUACCGAGGCGACGAUCAGUAGCCGGUCUGAGAGGACGACCAGCCACACUGGGACUGAGACACGGCCCAGACUCCUACGGGAGGCAGCAGUGGGGAAUUUUGGACAAUGGGCGAAAGCCUGAUCCAGCAAUGCCGCGUGUGUGAAGAAGGCCUUCGGGUUGUAAAGCACUUUUGUCCGGAAAGAACUCCUUGGCCAUAAUACGGUCGGGGGAUGACGGUACCGGAAGAAUAAGCACCGGCUAACUACGUG
rnacentral:rRNA from 1 species